UACGUAGGGUGCGAGCGUUAAUCGGAAUUACUGGGCGUAAAGCGUGCGCAGGCGGUUUUGUAAGCCAGAUGUGAAAUCCCCGGGCUUAACCUGGGAAUGGCAUUUGGGACUGCAAGGCUGGAGUGUGGCAGAGGAGACUGGAAUUCCUGGUGUAGCAGUGAAAUGCGCAGAUAUCAGGAAGAACACCAAUGGCGAAGGCAGCUCUCUGGGACGGUACUGACGCUGAGACGCGAAAGCGUGGGGAGCGAACAGG
rnacentral:rRNA from 1 species